AUUGAACGCUGGCGGCAGGCUUAACACAUGCAAGUCGAACGGUAACAUAAGAAAAGCUUGCUUUUUUUGAUGACGAGUGGCGGACGGGUGAGUAAUGCUUGGGAAUCUGCCUUAUGGAGGGGGAUAACUACGGGAAACUGUAGCUAAUACCGCAUAAUAUCUACGGAUUAAAGUGUGGGAUCUUCGGACCAUAUACCAUAAGAUGAGCCCAAGUGAGAUUAGGUAGUUGGUGAGGUAAAGGCUCACCAAGCUGACGAUCUCUAGCUGGUUUGAGAGGAUGACCAGCCACACUGGGACUGAGACACGGCCCAGACUCCUACGGGAGGCAGCAGUGGGGAAUAUUGCACAAUGGGCGCAAGCCUGAUGCAGCCAUGCCGCGUGAAUGAAGAAGGCUUUCGGGUUGUAAAGUUCUUUCAUUAGUGAGAAAGGUAUAAAUGUUAAUAGCAUUUGUAAUUGAUGUUAGCUAAAGAAGAAGCACCGGCUAACUCCGUGCCAGCAGCCGCGGUAAUACGGAGGGUGCGAGCGUUAAUCGGAAUAACUGGGCGUAAAGGGCAUGCAGGCGGUUACUUAAGUCAGAUGUGAAAGCCCCGAGCUUAACUUGGGAAUUGCAUUUGAAACUGGGUGACUAGAGUCCUCUAGGGAGGGGUAGAAUUCCACGUGUAGCGGUGAAAUGCGUAGAGAUGUGGAGGAAUACCGAAGGCGAAGGCAGCCCCUUGGGAAUAUACUGACGCUCAUGUGCGAAAGCGUGGGGAGCAAACAGG
rnacentral:rRNA from 1 species